rnacentral:rRNA from 1 species
UACGUAGGGGGCAAGCGUUGUCCGGAAUCAUUGGGCGUAAAGCGCGUGUAGGCGGCUUGGUAAGUCCGUUCUGAAAGUCCGGGGCUCAACCCCGGGAGGCGGAUGGAUACUGUCAAGCUUGAGUCCGGAAGAGGCGAGUGGAAUUCCCGGUGUAGCGGUGAAAUGCGCAGAUAUCGGGAGGAACACCAAUGGCGAAGGCAGCUCGCUGGGACGUGACUGACGCUGAGACGCGAAAGCGUGGGGAGCAAACAGG